rnacentral:rRNA from 1 species
UACGUAGGUGGCAAGCGUUGUCCGGAUUUAUUGGGUUAAAGGGUGCGUAGGCGGCCCUGUAAGUCAGUGCUGAAAUAUCCCAGCUUAACUGGGAGGGUGGCAUUGAUACUGCGGGGCUAGAGUACAGAUGAGGUAGGCGGAAUUGACGGUGUAGCGGUGAAAUGCUUAGAUAUCGUCAAGAACACCUAUAGCGAAGGCAGCUUACUAGGCUGUAACUGACGCUGAGGCACGAAAGUGUGGGGAUCAAACAGG